ACCUCGGUGGUGUAGUGGUAGCAGGUGUCCGCGGUAUGGAUCAAACGCGGGUUCGGUUCCCGCCUGAGGUC